rnacentral:lncRNA from 1 species
GGGGUGAAAAGAAGAUUGAGAAGCCCUGGACAGAUCUUUCUAAAGCCAGAGCAACCAUGGGGUACUUUCCUCCAGUGGCCAAAGUUUAUUUGACACAACAAAGUUUCUAAUCAGGCCACGGAGACCUGGAUUUCUCCUCAUUUGCCUCACUCCCGGUCUCUUCCUCUGAAGAUGCUGGAGACUUUGUUGCAAGAAAGGAUGGCUUUAGGUCAUGUUGCUGAGGCCUGAUCUUAAAGAUCUAAUUGCUAUUGGAAGAGAAUCCUGUUUCCCAACUGGGCCUCCCCUCUGGAGAUGGAGCAAGGAAGACUGUCCAACUCUGCUCUGGGCACCCUGCUGAUGGAUGAGGUGUCAGGCCAGUCGUCAUGUGAGGACUGGUUUCCAAAUGUUGCUGUGCUCCACCUUCAUACCUUCGCCUAUGUUAGAACUUCUGAGAAGCUGAAGCAUCACAUAUAAAAAGCCAAGACCAUCCUCAAGGAGUUUAAUGAAUGUGGCAUCACAAGAAAAAUAUGCAUCAACAUUGAAAAGCAAAGCCUUCCAGCCAGUUCAAUGGUGGGAGUCUCCCCCUGCUCUUCCUGCACAAUCAUUUCCCAUUGAGGAAGAAUGUGAAAAUGACGCACAGGUGAGGGAGGCAUACUAUAAGACCGCUUCUUACCUUUCGUUUCCUGGAGCCAAUAUGAAUGAAGACCCAGAGAGAGGAGAAGGGAAAGAGAAGCUGCCAAAAACAGACAAUGGGAGAAAAGAAGUGAGCACCAAGAGCAUCCUGGGAUGAAAAUGAGGAAGGCUGGAGAUUUGUCAUUGUCAGUGUUGUCAUUUUCUGUCGUAUUUUAAAUCUGAGAGCUUUUAUGGUAGGAGUAUAUGUGCUGUUUUAUAAUAGCUUAGAGAAAAUUUUUCAUUGGAUGUUUUAGUCCAUUCAUUCCUUAGCACUUACAAAAGUCACAGGCAAAAAUCAAACGUGCAAGCAAAUCCCAAACUCUCUACAUGUAAAGUGGUGAAUUCUAAUUAUUUUUCAAAUUUGUUCAGUUGUUAUAGUUAUGCCAUUGCUGUGUAUUUGUAUUUAUCUUUUUUAUUAAAUACAUAUUCACUAAUCUGCC